rnacentral:lncRNA from 1 species
AGGAGACCAAGAGGGAAGGGUGAUGGAGAAAGCACAGGUUGAAGUUCUCGUCUUCCUUCCAACAGAAUCUCAGUUGCAUUCAGUUGUUGCCCCCCUCGAACCUCCCUUGAGCCUCAGGAGAAACCACCCUGAUUCAGAGGUCCAGAGAAGACCUGACUAGCCCAAGGUAAUUCCAUCCCCUUGCCAGAAUGGCUUGGACAGGGACAGGCGACCCAUUUCAAUGAGGCCAAUGAGACAAAGGUAUUUCUGCUGGGGAGGCAGGGGCUUCAAGCAAAGUGUCUUGCUUGAAAGGGAGAGCCACCGGAAGAGGCCUCUCUCCUUCCUUAGGGUGUCACAGUGUCUGGACGCGAUGCCUGGAAGUGCUACAGCCACUCGCACCCAGCCUGAAGACGAAACCAACCCCAAACACAGCCAAGCAGAGAGAUGGAAAGAACUAAGACCCUAAUUACACCACUGAGCAGCUAUAGCAACCAGUCCCAGAGCCCUCUGACUUCCCGCCAAAGUGAGAUGAUAAGAUACUGUUUAAUUUCUCUCUUUUAUAGCCAAACGCACCAAAAUUGACACAGAGAUGUGAGCCAUACCUACUGCUGUUACUGCUCCAUCCCUAGUUCCAACCACAGUGCAUGGUACAUGGUAGAGAGCCAACAAACACUUGAAGAAUGAAUGGUGCAUAUUGAGUGGGAUUUUCCAGAGGCAGACCUGGAGACAAGGCUUCAAGUGCAUGUGUUGUAUUAAGGAAAUGCUCCCAGGGGACAAUAACAGAGUGGCAGAAAUGGGACAAGGGGGCCAGGGAGCCAAGCACAGAGAAUCAAUCAUCUAAACAGAGCCCCCUGGUUUUUGUUUCACCUGAGAGUAGCUUCCAACAGCUCAGCGUUGCCCCUGAGGCAAGGGAGCUGGGCUUUCCUAAUCCUCCACUCCUCAGUCUCUGGCUAAGCGCUGUCCCCAGGGGACUUAAUCACCCAAGCACUUCCCCAAGAGUGGCACCUGCUGACCACUGGAGGCACUGGUACAGUGAAGCGACAGAAGGGAUCAGAGAGGGUCCAGGUGAGGCACAGCAAUGUGGCUGAAUAAUAACUAUAUUAACUCAUAUAGUUAAUUCUCAAGCAAUGGCAAAGUGUAGGCAGCUUCUUGUCUGCAAAUGUUUCCACAAUAUCUCUCCUGCAGCCAGGGUCUUUUCCUGCUGCCUACACAGAAUGGCCAUGGAGCAUUCCCAACUCUUAUUAAAGUGGAAAAAAAAAGCCUUUGCAUUUCAAUCUAUUAUUGCACUUUAUGACUCAUCUCCAGGUUCUCGCUGCAAAACAUUGAAAGCCAGAUCAUAAUUUGAUGAUGAAAUAUUGAUUAUGCAUUUGUAUGCAGAGGUCUAUACUAUAUAGAUAGAAUUCCCACCCUGUAGUAUCUUCUAUUUUAAGUCAAUAUGAAGAUGGAUGUUCCCCCCAGGCAAAUUUUGAUAAGAUACUUGUGUCAAUACAAAAAUAGAUUAAUGCCAAUGUGAAUCAAUACCGUUUAUUGGUUUGGAUUGCUUCUUUUCCACCCAGGAGCUGGCUCCAAGAGGAGUUUCCAAACACCAGCAGCUCCCAGCCAAUCUGCAUAUUUCUUUAUUUAAAUCAUGAGAGUGGGAAGUGGCAAGGGAAUGGUGGGUUGGCAGGGGGCUGCCCACACCCACUUCCAAAUUGAGAAGCGAAUGAAAAUAAAACAAACGCAACUUGUCAACAAAUCUGGGAGAAGCUUUAUUACCAUCAUUAGCAGUGUGCUUGUCCUCUGCUGCUUCCAAAAAGAAUAAACUUAAAAUGAC